CAUUAGAUGGCUGAAAAUUAAGCAAUGGUCUCUUAAACCAGAAUAUAGUAUAUAUUACUUCUAAUGA
rnacentral:tRNA from 1 species